AUUGAACGCUGGCGGCAGGCCUAACACAUGCAAGUCGCACGCGAAAGGGCCUUCGGGUCCGAGUAGAGUGGCGGACGGGUGAGUAACGCGUAGGAAUCUGUCCUGUAGUGGGGGAUAACCCGGGGAAACCCGGGCUAAUACCGCAUACGCCCCACGGGGGAAAGCGGGGGAUCUUUCGGGACCUCGUGCUAGGAGAGGAGCCUGCGUCGGAUUAGCUGGUUGGUAGGGUAAAGGCCUACCAAGGCGACGAUCCGUAGCUGGUCUGAGAGGAUGAUCAGCCAAACCGGAACUGAGACACGGUCCGGACUCCUACGGGAGGCAGCAGUGGGGAAUAUUGCGCAAUGGGCGAAAGCCUGACGCAGCCAUGCCGCGUGUGUGAAGAAGGACUUCGGGUUGUAAAGCACUUUCAGUGGGGAGGAAAGGGUGCUGGCUAAUAUCCAGCGCAGUUGACGCUACCCACAGAAGAAGCACCGGCUAAUUCCGUGCCAGCCGCCGCCGUAA
rnacentral:rRNA from 1 species